rnacentral:rRNA from 1 species
UUUUACGGAGAGUUUGAUCCUGGCUCAGGACGAACGCUGGCGGCGUGCUUAACACAUGCAAGUCGAACGAUGAUGCCCAGCUUGCUGGGUGGAUUAGUGGCGAACGGGU